AGGUCCGUAGCUCAAUAAGGUAGAGCACCGGACUCCAAAUCCGGAGGUUGUGGGUUCAAGUCCCACCGGACCUGCAA
rnacentral:tRNA from 1 species